rnacentral:lncRNA from 1 species
AGGCAGUUCUUAAAGCAUUCACAUCGGCAUGCCAAGCUCCGGCACCAAGCCAGGUGCUGAUCCCAAAAGGUGACUUCAAGCUUGGUGAGACCGUGAUGACUGGUCCAUGCAAAUCUCCAAUCGAGUUCACCUUGCAAGGCAACGUGAAAGCUGACGGUGGCUCUACCCAGGGAAAGGAUAGAUGGGUUGUGUUCGAAAAAAUUAAUGGUUUUAAGUUGAACGGAGGUGGAACAUUUGACGGUGAAGGCAAUGCAGCUUGGAAAGCCAACAACUGCCACAAGACUUUUGAGUGCAAGAAACUUCCCAUCGUAGGUGUUUCCGUCUUUAAUAUAUUAACACCAAUGGCUUUUUUUAAAGAUGAUAUAAUUCAGUGAUGCAUGCUAUCUUUCAGAGUGUAAGGUUUGAUUUUGUGGAUAACGCUGAGAUAAAAGACAUAACCUCAUUAGAUGCCAAAAACUUCCACUUCAACGUUAUCAGCGGCAAGAACAUGACCUUUGAUAACAUCAAGAUCAUCGCUCCAGCUGAAAGCCCCAACACUGACGGUAUCCAUUUGGGAAGAUGUGAGGGAGUCAAGAUCCUCAACACUAAGAUCGCCACAGGAGAUGACUGCAUCUCCGUGGGAGAUGGGAUGAAGAAUCUCCUCAUUGAGAAAGUUGUGUGCGGUCCAGGACACGGAAUCAGUGUUGGAAGCCUUGGAAGGUACGGAUGGGAGCAAGAUGUCACUGACAUUAACGUUAAGAACUGUACCCUUGAGGGAACCGACAACGGUCUGAGGAUCAAGACAUGGCCAUCUGCCGCUUGCACCACCACCGCUGCCGGUAUUCAUUUUGAGGAUAUCAUCCUUAACAAAGUUAGCAACCCAAUCCUCAUCGACCAGGAGUACUGCCCUUGGAACCAAUGCAACAAGAACGUAAGUAUCUUUUAUUAGAUUCUAUGUCUUGCCACUAUCACCGUAUUCUAUGAAAUUGGAUGGCUCAGCAAACAUAUUAUUCUGAUGGUUUUCUAGAUAUUUAGCAUUCACCAUUUUGGUUGAGGUUACAUAUAUAUGAUUAUGAUCCCAAAGUUUUUUUUUCUAUUUGCAGAAACCAUCAACAAUUAAGCUGGUGGACAUUACCUUCAGGAAUAUUAGAGGAACAUCAGGGAACAAGGACGCAGUAAAACUAUUGUGCAGCAAGGGACAUCCAUGUGAGAACGUUGAGAUUGGAGACAUUAACAUUGAGUACACAGGACCUGACGGUCCACCCACUUUCGAGUGCACAAACGUCACACCUAAGCUUGUGGGAACCCAGAACCCAAAGGCUUGCGUUGGACCUGUGGUCAAGGCUCCUGGCAAAGAGUAAAAUGUUGAAGCUCAUAUCAACACACUAGGGCUUCCACAUCCAAUUUUGUUUAUUCUUUUUCUAAUCCUUUUUCAAGUCACGUAAGGGAGACUUUUACAAAGCUGUAACAAAAAAAUGUUUCUAUCCGAUGCCAACACAUAUAUAGAUGUGUGAGUGCAUAAUGAUGUAAUUAAUAAAACUAAAUUAUAUAUUCUGCGUAUGAUUGUUUCUUUUUAAAAUAUUAAUAUGCGCGGUAAGUUGUAUACACUUCAAUCUUAAUUUUGUUUUCUUUUCCGAAUCUUAAAAUUAUUUAACAAGAUCUGAUUUCAACCUUAAGAUUAAUUUAACUAAUACAGUAUUAGUUUUUUUUUUUUUAGAACUCAUUUUAAACUAGAACUCAAAUCAUUUCAAUAAUAGUUCACUAACAUGUAGUAUUCUUUCCAAGUUAUACUGAACUAGAACUCAAAGAUACACUUGUUCAUACAUAACCGAUGCAAGCAUUUGGACAACGAAACAUGACAUCGUCAUAAGUAAUCUGAUUGGAAAUGUAAUUUUCAAUCAAACUUUCGCUCUUUGCUUAUGAUCUCUUUGGAAAAAAUUUCACUUGAUAAUAUGAGGUGCAUACUCUUCCUCUCUACUUUGGUUCAAUGCUCCUUAAACAUGUUGGAUACUUUUUUAGGCUUCAAUAUAAAAAAGAAGUUAGGAAAAAUUUAUUGAUAUUGUUAGUAAUAUUACUUCUAUGAUAUUGGUACUUCAAAAGAAGCAUGAGUUAUUAUAGAAACUAGGUUAAGAUCUCUGUUUUGCGCAUGAUGAAUUUUAUGUAUACAAAUGAUAUUUUUCUAUUUUUAUUAUUUAUUUUGUGUUUAUUUAUUUCAUAUUUAUAUAAUUAAAUUAGAGUAAACACAUAAAUCAAAACUAUACCUCCUUUUAUUUCUAAUUUUUUUCAUAAAUAAAUCAAUCGUUUUAUUUAUUUUAUAUGAAAUAUAAUUAAUUUGAAUGAUAAUGACAUAGAUAUCUAGUAAAAUUUAAUAUAACUUAUUAAUUGAGAUUUCCUACUCAUAUAAUCUUAUUAACAUUUGUAUAUAUUGCUGUAAAAAAAAUUAAACCAUUAAUUACAAAACUUUCAAUGUGAGAUUUAUUUCAAUACAAAAUUUUAAAUUGAAAUAUUAAGGUCUCAAUACUUUUAAAAUGUAAAUUUCAAAAUUAACGUAUUUAUGUAUUUUUAUAUGGUAUAUAGUUUAAUUUAAACGAUAUUAAGAUAUAUAUAUAUAUAUAUAUUUAAUAUGAAUAUCUAUUAAAUGAGACUUUAUAUUCAUACAAUUUUAUGAUCAUUUUGUAUCUUGUUAUAACAAAAAAAAGUAGUUAAACCAUUGAUUACAAAAUUUCAAUAUGGGCUUUUAACAUUUUUUAGUAAUUUAUAGUUUUUUAAAAUUCAUAAUAUAACAUAUAAGAAAGAGUCUAUAUUUUAAGUAUAUGGUUAAUGUGAUUGUAUAAUUUCUUUUAAUAAUAUAAAAUUAAAUAAAAUAGAUGGAGGUUACAAAAAUUGUUAUCAAAUCUUUAUUAUUCAUAAUCAUUAGUUUUCGUAUAUAUGUUAAUCAUAUUAGGUAAUUUCGUAACUUUUAUUUAGAGAAAUAAUGAAAAUAUUCUUUUGAACAUACAUUACUAAUCAAUUUGAUAGUUAGUUUAAUAAUAAGAUAUAAUAUAUGUUUCGAUAGACCAUCUAUUUUUUUAAGGAUCCUAAGCAUCAUUGUUGUAUUAAUACGUGGAUACAAAAAAAUGUUGCAAUGCUUUUCAAAUAUAUAAAUGAUUAUGUGGUUGAAAGAAAUUAGAAAAAUGCAAUGCAGUUAAGUAAUGAGGAACGAUUGAUUUUUGUUAUUAAAAGACGGAAGUCACGAACCACAUUAAUUAAAGUCAUCGAUUACUGACUGAUGACAACAUAUUUGACAAACAAUAAUAGAAGUUACAUAUAUUAACGCAUAAAGUUACAAAAUACAUAUACAUAUUUGACAAACAAUAAUAGAAGCGACGAAAUACAAACAAACACCUAAAACAAUUAAUUUUCAAAUACAGUCCAGGUUCUCCGAAAGUCGUUUGCUUUGAAAUGCUCUUUUUUAACUUAGUCAUAAACAUCUUCAUCUUUAUAACAUUAAUUAUUUCUUUUAUGAACUGGUUUGCCUUUUUUUCUUCAUGAUAUUGGGUUCAAUAGUUCCAACUUUUGCCUUUUGAAUUGUGUAAAUCUAUUUCACUAUUUGUUGACCAUUUGCAAUUCUUGCUUUUCUUUCAUCAUAUCAUUUUUUGUUGUAUACAUUUCCCUUGAAUGAUGACUAACUUAUACAAAAUUGGAAUCACUUGCAUCAUUUUCGUGGAUUCUUUUAAACCCACUUCUGCCUGACUACAAGAACAUAUUUAAUCACAGAUGAUGACGAGCCCCAUUCCAACAUGUUGAAAUGUAUAGUCUUGGCACUUGAACAUAGCUCAUGCGUUUUUUUUGUCAAUAUAUCAUUAUUCUCUGAUCAUCCAUUUUGUUACAUAGACUUUGCUAUUGUCAGUGCCAACCAUUAUUCCGAUAGUUUUUUCAUGUGGUGUAGUAAUUUUUCUAAACGAAGCAAUUACUGUUCUCUAACAAUUUUGAAAACCAACCAAUGCUAACGUCCAUAUAUAUUUUCCGCAGCCUGCACAACAGGAUUAUCAGAACGUAAAUCUCCUGAAUUUCUUUAAGUUCUAGUACCUUAUAAAAUUCUACUAACAAUUUGAUAUCUUUUUAGAUGGUGUAAAUGUAAUAACAUAAGUUGGCUAGAAACUAACCUCCCAAAAAUAGAGGUAUCAUGCAAAUGCUAUAAACACGAGUGGAACAAGUCUUAUGCCUAACAAUUGAACGCUAAUUUCCCAAAAUUAAAGUAACCUAGCUAAUACUUCCUUAAAAAUGGGUCAAACAUUCUAAAAAAUGAGAAGUUGGGAGAAAGUAUGGGCCUUCAACAUAUCUCUCCAUUUAACGCACUAUAUAAAGCAGCAGGUGCGUAGUAAAAAUCUCAGAAAACAAAAAUUAAAAGACAAUAAAAAAUAAAAAUAAAUAAAUAAAUAUGGGUUCAUAUUUGGGAAUCUAUACAAUUUUGGUUCUAUGUUUGCUAGGAUAUUCAGCCAAUGCUGAGGUGUUCACCGCUGGUGGUCCUCCAAAUUCUGAUAUUACCGCGGUUAGUAUCUUCACUUGUUUUUUAUUACUUGAAUUCCAAUCAAUGUGUAAACCAUUUCUUAUAUUAACAUACUCGUGGGAGCUAUUGUUGCAGGCAGUUCUUAAAGCAUUCACAUCGGCAUGUCAAGCUCCGGCACCAAGCCAGGUGCUGAUCCCAAAAGGUGACUUCAAGCUUGGUGAGACCGUGAUGACUGGUCCAUGCAAAUCUCCAAUCGAGUUCACCUUGCAAGGCAACGUGAAAGCUGACGGUGGCUCUACCCAGGGAAAGGAUAGAUGGGUUGUGUUCGAAAAAAUUAAUGGUUUUAAGUUGAACGGAGGUGGAACAUUUGACGGUGAAGGCAAUGCAGCUUGGAAAGCCAAUAACUGCCACAAGACUUUUGAGUGCAAGAAACUUCCCAUCGUAUGUGUUUAUGUCUUUAAUAUAUUAACACCAAUGGCUUUUUUAAAGAUGAUAUAAUUCAGUGAUGCAUGCUAUCUUUCAGAGCAACUGCCACAAGACUUUUGAGUGCAAGAAACUUCCCAUCGUAGGUGUUUCCGUCUUUAAUAUAUUAACACCAAUGGCUUUUUUUAAAGAUGAUAUAAUUCAGUGAUGCAUGCUAUCUUUCAGAGUGUAAGGUUUGAUUUUGUGGAUAACGCUGAGAUAAAAGACAUAACCUCAUUAGAUGCCAAAAACUUCCACUUCAACGUUAUCAGCGGCAAGAACAUGACCUUUGAUAACAUCAAGAUCAUCGCUCCAGCUGAAAGCCCCAACACUGACGGUAUCCAUUUGGGAAGAUGUGAGGGAGUCAAGAUCCUCAACACUAAGAUCGCCACAGGAGAUGACUGCAUCUCCGUGGGAGAUGGGAUGAAGAAUCUCCUCAUUGAGAAAGUUGUGUGCGGUCCAGGACACGGAAUCAGUGUUGGAAGCCUUGGAAGGUACGGAUGGGAGCAAGAUGUCACUGACAUUAACGUUAAGAACUGUACCCUUGAGGGAACCGACAACGGUCUGAGGAUCAAGACAUGGCCAUCUGCCGCUUGCACCACCACCGCUGCCGGUAUUCAUUUUGAGGAUAUCAUCCUUAACAAAGUUAGCAACCCAAUCCUCAUCGACCAGGAGUACUGCCCUUGGAACCAAUGCAACAAGAACGUAAGUAUCUUUUAUUAGAUUCUAUGUCUUGCCACUAUCACCGUAUUCUAUGAAAUUGGAUGGCUCAGCAAAC